GGAUUUUGCCAUUGUUUUACGAUAAGAGGUGGAGGCUUCGAGAGACGGUGAUAGAGAGAGAGAGAGACGGUGAUCAAGAUAGACACACAGCAACUCUGAGAGCGAAGAAACAAUCGAGGGUUGGGUUUGUUUUGGAAGAUGUUCCGUUUUACCUGUACAGGUUAGUUUGCACCAAGACUUGGAACCCACCGCUUCCUCUUCUCUUAGUUUGAGUUUCUCCCGCAUCAUUCAACAGCAAAACCUCUCAAAUCUUUCUCCAGCCAUCGAUGUCAACCCCUGAAAGAUUAUGUUCGGGCUGUUCAAUCUAUUAAGUUGAGCCACCAUAGCUGAGAGAGCAAAUGCCUUCAGGCAACAGUGUUGCUAUCUGAAACUGCUGUUAGGCUGGUGUAUUUGUAUGUGAACAACAUAUAAGUAGAGCUACUGUCAAUCUGUAGUUUAAGUAAAACAAAAUUGGUUCAGAAAAAAAGAAUUGCAAAAUAGUGCAGAUGACAACCAUUUCAUUUAACUGAAGUAUGACUUGGCUACAUUGGUAACCAAACCUCAAUUUGGAGACACUGCUUACCAAGAAAGUUUCUGGGUUUACUUCCUAUACAAUAAUAUCUUAAUUUAAAGCAAGAUCUGAAAAGACCGAAGAUUUUACGAGAAAAAGAUGAGUGAGUGUGAAAAUGGAGUAGUACAGGAAGCUCAAAGAUCAGGAUGAAAAUGGAAAUUCAGCUGCCGACGCCAUAAAAAAUUUACGGGGAAAUUCGCUUUCAAUCGCUCCAACUAUGGGAGAGGGGCCAAUAGACUGAAAAGGGAAGCACAAGUAUGAUUGAAGUAGAGGAGCUUCAGCCAUAUUCACAUGGAUAUACAGAGCUAAACUUUUUCUAAAGGAUGAGGGAACAAUGAUGACCCACAUUGACACCAUAUUCAAAACGUGAGUUGUAAUAUAUAAGACAUCUGCUUAAUUAAGAUGGCAGAAAAGAAUGCAGUGGAGGAUUUUAAUCGAGGAAGCUGAAAAUAAGCAGAAGGAUCGGACGACAUGUGGACAUCAGUGAACCACCAAAGAAAUAAGCUUUUCCAGAGAUGGAUAUCCAAGGAUGCUAUUGAUUUAUUUUGAUUGAGGUGAGAGGGAAUCUAGAAGACAAUUAUCUCAGUUCUUGAUAGUGCUCAUGGGCUCUGUAAGUGUGGCUCCUUCAUCUGGAUUAGGAGACGGCAGUGGAAAUACAGUUGCCCAGUGAGAUGAAAAACAUGAAAAUUAGGGAUGACGUACAAGAAAAACAAUACCCACUUAUUAUUGGCUCAAUCUUUGAUCCUGCUGUGGACUUUUCAAAAGGAGUAUUCUUCUUUUCUUAUCAGUUAUGACUUAUGGAGUUGGUCUCUGGUCUUGGUGGCUGAAUUUUUUUUUUGUUACAAUGUAGGCAUUGAGGUAAUUGUUGUGUUGACCUGCUGUCCAAAUUCUUUGUUACAACUUCAGCAAUUAAGCUGUUUUUUCAUUCUAGGAGUUGACCUGGCUUAUAUGCUCAUUGGUAUUUAAAAGAGACACCUACCUGAAGCAUAGCCGGAAGCAAAAUUGAGCUGUGAAAAUCUUAAUCAAAGAUUAUGCAGUGAACCUUGAAUGGCAGGAGAUGUGAUGAUUUAGAAUGUUGAUGAGGAAAUACUGUAGUCAUGGGAGAUUCUUCUGCAGCAUUCAUACACACGUAACUGUUGAUGGCAAAGCUUCUAUCCCAAAAUUCCAUUUUUGCAAUAUGUAAAUAUACAAAUCUACUUAAAUACCAGCUUUUGUAAUAUGUAAAGUUAUGACAUUCACCAAUAAACGUUUCUUAGUUUAUGGUUC